rnacentral:rRNA from 1 species
AGGAAGCGCAAGCAACAGCGAUUGCUGCAGUAACGGCGAGUGAAUGGGCAACAGAUUGUCUCGACCCGAAGUGAAUCCCUACCGCACUGCCUCGGCAGAUGCGUUCGGCUCUCGUGGGUUUCAGCAGAUGCUGUGGGCUAUGGAGCUGAUGGCCUGUGUUCUGCGCUGGUGAUGCACCAGGAAGCGACCUGGAAUGGUCAACGAUACAGGGAUACUGUCCCAUACUGGUGCUGUGUGCGUUGCCAGCCAGGAUGCGGCUGUUGGCAUCCAGGAGUAGAGUGGCUUGAGACUGCAGUUUGAAGUGCAAGGUGUAUCCCUUGCAAGGGAGCAUAUCGACAUGGGACCGAUAGCGCACAAGUAGAGUGAUUGAAGGAUGCAAAGGACUUUGCAAAGAGGGUUAAAAGUCCCUGAAGCCUCGGCAGGAACGGCGGAAAGUGCUGCUCUCCCUCGCGGUCUGUGUGGGACCACCAGCUACAUCGGCCUUGGCCAUGGCGUCUGCGGACGACCUGGCGGUUGAUAGCGUGGCUGGUGGACGACCACCCACCUGACCCACUGCCACACCUCGUGUGUGCGCAGCGAAUGUGAAUCCAAGUGACCUUGGGCCAGCCCAGGGCUGGCCACUGAGCUCCGUUCACACCAGGAUGGAACGCAAUCGUGGCAGUCUGUGGUGACACUCAGCGUGUCAGGGCCUGAGGCUUGCAGAGAGAUACCUCCAGCGAAUGGCUGUGUGCCAAGAGCGAUGCUUGAAUGGUGCAGCACAAAGUGUAUCUGUGAUGAGCAAUGCAGCAGCAGCACAACGUGUGUGUGUGCCCCAGAUGGAUACCUCAGUCGAGGCGUGGGCUCAACGAUGUUGAUGUUCGCUCAGCAGCAGAGCAACAAGCAUGGAGAAUUGUGUGUAGCCUGAGAGCAGAGCCAUUAUGAUGCAGCGCGAUGCCGCGCCUGUUGUUGUGUUCGGACAUCGCAGGUGUGCCGUGCCUGGACAUGGAUCAGUGGCUGGUGGACGCAUGGGGCUGCACCGCUCUGACGGUGGCUCCUGUGUGACUACCUUCCACCCAGACGGUGUACGGUGCAAAGGCAGCUGAGCUUGGUGAAUGAGUGACGCUCUCUGCCCGUCUUGAAACACGGACCAAGGAGUCUAUGGAGCUUGCCAGUUCGUCGGUGAUUGUUGCAAACCACAGGGCGUGGUGAAGGCAACUUGUCUCAGAUGGUGCAUGGAUGUUCAAUCAACGCUGAGAGAUCGCAGAUCGCACGUGUGUGUGUGCUCACACUGAGCCCAGCUUGUGGCCAACUGGGUAUGUGGAAUCGUCUGUGCCUGGCAAGCACAACAAGUCUGUGGAAUCGUGUGAUGCACAUCAGCACCACGUGUUGUUGUCUCGAGAUCAAGGCUGAAACUUCCGUGUGAAUGCUGCAUGGGACACCGGUCCCGAAGUCCAGUGGACAGGGUUCUGAGUGAUUGCAAGGUCCAUGGGACCCGAAAGGUGGUGAACUAUACCGUUCCAUGUCGAAGCCGUGGGAAACUGCGGUGGAGGACAGUCGCUGUUCUGACGUGCAAAUUGUGUAGCCUGAGUGCGGCAUAGGGGUGAAAGGCCAAUCGAGCCACCUAGUAGC